CGUGUGUGUACAUUUUUGUCCUGAGUUCUUUAUAUUUCGUUCGUCUGACCAAGGAUGUUUUUGUCUUUUUAGUGAAGGUCCUAUACAUCUUCUGCUUCCUUCUCUCUCUCGACUCAGACCCCUCUCUCUUCUGUUUAACGUGUUUAACGAAGGACAAUUCCUAUUUUGAAGAAAGCAUAUGGAGACAGCAUGCAUAAAAUUUUGCAUGUUGGUUCAAACACCUGUUCGGUGGUUUCUAAAUUGCUUAAAGGAGGAAACUGAAGCCUGGGGCGUGAAACCAUAUGAUAUAAAGGAUGCAGAUACUAACUGCAAAGCUCUCGUCCGCAAAGGCGUUGUGCGUGUAGCUGAUAUCAAGUUUCCUCUUCCAUAUAGGCCAAAAUCGUUUUCCCUUGUAAUUGUUUCAGAUGCUCUGGAUUACUUGUCUCCAAGAUAUCUCAACGAGACCCUUCCUGAUUUGGCAAGAGUAUUAGCUGAUGGUUUUGCGAUAUUUACAGAUGGGCUCCACAGAGUGUCAAGUUCACCGGCCAUUAACGACCUUGAUUCCACCCAUAAGCCAUUUUUGCAGUCUUUCGCACUCUCCUCUGAACCAUACAUACUGUCUCUGCUCACCAUGGGUUGCUCUUCCUCUAUCCCAGAUUUUUUCUCCUUCAUCCUUAACGAAUCUUCUUCGUUCCCCGAAAAUUCAAUCUCCAUUAAUAAAUGAAAUCUCUGCGUUGUUUCUGCCUCUAAAUCAGACAAUGGAUCGCAAGAAUCUUCCUUUCAGGGAGCUGAGUUAUUUUUUAGGAGCGUGCUGGCAAGCAUGGAAAAUGUGUACUUAAACAUGAACCCCACAGCAAAACAAAUAUUAGAGCUUGUUCAACCUGUCAAUAGCAACCAGAUUUGCUAUGAUCAUUUGGCAUUUAGAACAUUCGGGUUAUUCUUGGUUUUUAAUUUUGCAUAUUUUAUCAGUCAUUUAUACGCUUUUCUAUCACUGAUAUGAUAUUUUGUGAGUGACAUCUUUGUCUUCACUGGUGUAAAAAUACCUAUGUUUAAAUAAGUAACUUUACUUUUGGUGCACAUAGGCAAAUACAUGCACAAUG